rnacentral:rRNA from 1 species
UACGAAGGGGGCUAGCGUUGUUCGGAAUCACUGGGCGUAAAGCGCACGUAGGCGGACUCUUAAGUCGGUGGUGAAAUCCUGGAGCUCAACUCCAGAACUGCCUUCGAUACUGAGAGUCUCGAGUCCGGGAGAGGUGAGUGGAACUGCGAGUGUAGAGGUGAAAUUCGUAGAUAUUCGAAAGAACACCGGUGGCGAAGGCGGGUCUCUGGGCCGAUACUGACGCUGAGGAGCGAAAGCGUGGGGAGCGAACAGG